ACACUGCACUCGACUCGUACUCCGAAGCGAAGCUUCUUUUGUUGGAGAAUAAAUACCGGUCUGUUAAACGUUGAUUUACAGAUGAUGGUGUAAAUUAGGAAAUAAUAAGAAACGAUGGAUAGAGCUGGAGAAGGACCUCUUUUGAGUAUUCAGCAAGUUUUCCAGCUCUCAUCUUAUGGAGUCAAAUCAGGGCAAGUAACAUUCCCUCGAGUGACGGCGUCAUCACAUCGAUGGAUCUGCUGCCGUCACACCAGCAAGAAGAAGAAGAGAGACAACUGCGUGACGGCCAUCAACCUGACGCGCCGGACGCCACGCGCCCUCACUUGGCCAUGUUCAGCGGAUUCGGCCAUGAUGAAUCCUCGCAAACCUUGGCUUGCUCUCAAAGGUACAUCCACUUUUGAAUUUAUCAGGUUCUCGUUAAAAUGCAUACAUGUAGCUUUAUUGAUUGAUCCUACAUAGAAUUUAAAAUUCUUCUUCUCACUUGGAAAGUUAUAAAUGGUAUGGCACCAAUAUAUUGACAACACCUUGUCAUGACCAUCUCUUAGCCUGAGAUCAUCACACCAGCAUCUCCUUAAGACUCCCAAAACAUGUAUAGGAUAUGGUGUGCGAGCUUUCUCUGCCUCAGCAUCUUCUCUCUUGAAUACAUGUAAUUUGCUGUUGAAUUUAAGAAUUAUAUCAUCACUGGAGACUUUCAAAUCUAUUAGCUUACCGGUAAGUCUUAUCUUUCCUAACAACAGUAACGUUAUUGGCACUUUGACACUCAUCCAAACUCUCUUAUUCUUUCUUUUUCUUUUGCGCCUCGGAAUAGAAUAUUUCUAGAUAGAUGGCGCUAUAUAAAUGCCUAUUAUCAUUAUUAAUUAUUAUGUCAGAUUUUCACUAUAAUGAUUAUGUAGUAGUUGAUGCUAUGAAAGCAUUGAGGUUUGGGCACUGGUUUAAUUAUUUGGGUUAUUCAGAACUACAUGUAGUUACAUUCAUUUAUCGAUACAAAACACGAUUAUAAUAUGUGAAUAGGACAACAAAGUCAUGGCAAUUUUCACAGACCCAAGGGAAGUCAAGCUUAUUAAAGGGUUCUCCAAAUUCAUCAUAUCAAAAGGUACAGAUUAUUAAACAAAGAAAUGCAAUUAAUAACUUGCUUGCUUUAAAAGGGAAAUCUAAAUUAAUUUUAGUAGAUCAAGCAGUUGUGUCAAACUGAAUUACAUGUAGCAAACUAUUACACUGAAACUAUGGGGUGACAUUCACUAAAAAUCUGUAUACCCUGAAAGUUCCUUAUUGCAAAGAUACAUGUAUGUUAUGCAUUAGUCUGAAAAUAAAAAAGGUUAAUCCAAACAGUUAAUGUAUGUUCCAUUAGUUUAUUAAUCCAACAGUGAAAUAAAGUUUUGUUCAUUUCGUUGGUAUGAAAGAAUAAUUUCAGUUAAAUCCGUUUUUUUUCACCAUUUGCUUUGUCGUUUUGUAAAAAACAAAACUAAUAUCAACAUACAAUAUUGCAAUAAUAUUUUUUGCAACCUGAAAAUGAAGUAUAGGGGUGUAUGUUUAUUUUGAUUUCCAUUGGAUUUGGAAUGAUUAAUGUCAACCUACAGUUUCCUCAUCGGUAAACAACUCAUGAAAACAAUAAUAAUAGUUCAAUUUUACAUAUAACAUAGCUAUGUGCAAACUGCAAAGUAAUAGAACUUUAUUAUGAAGUUCUGUAGUUUGGCAAUGAGUUUAGAUAGUGGAGGAAGGUGUUUGUUUGUGCUUGUGAUUUGUGAAUUAUUGUUUAUAAUGCGUCUAGAUAUCUUUUGUUUGAAUUUCCAAAAAGAUAACCACAUGUAUUUGUCUCAAUUCUGCUGAAAAUCACAUGAACUGCAGAAAGAAGUGAAUGUGCAUAAAAUGUCAGCCUGGUACAUUGUACAGUAUACAUACUAUUUGGGUAUCUGGAGAGCAUUUGAAAUGUAACUUUAAAAAAUAUAUUCCUAAAUACUGAACAGGAAGAAAUUAAUCAUUUCGAGUUUGAAAUUCACAACGAUUUUUGAUAGUAGGAAAAUCCUUAUAUAUUCAAAACCAUUUCUGAAUUCAUGGGAUUGGCUUAAAAUUAAUCUUCAUCUGCAGCUAUUGGGUAUCAAAUGCUGUAAGAAAUGUGUUCGUCAAACGGUCAAAGAACAUUUUUUGAAAGAAGAAUGAAAACAUUACUGAGAGUGACAUCCUCAAAUGUAAAAUUCAAAUUUUUACAAAUAAUUAAGGGAUGAAAUAAAAUAUUGUAUUCACUUCACUUUUGUAAGAUUUGAAAGUUUGAUGAUACACCACUAUGUAAUUCACAUUAUUGAACCUCUACCAAAGCUCUAGGCAGUUUUUUUUUAUGGGAGUUUCCCUUUAUACAGCAGUGUACAACUGUACAUGUACCUUUUACAAACGAACAUGCGUAAAUCAACGUAUUAAACUUCAUUCUAAUCUAAAUGCAAAUUAAAUUGUUAUCGUGUUUGUGUGAGGUACAUGUAUCAAGUAGCCUUGUCCGUUACGCAACUCUCCAUACUGGUUGGCUGAUGACUAAGACAGGAAAGCUCUCAAUUAAAGCACUGCCGGCUGAUUCUAUGUUCAUUAAUUACCUCAUGUCGCAGUUCGUCAAUAUGAUGGAGUGAUAUUGACUUCAGCAAUGGUAUUGAUUGGUGAUUUUCAUUUCAUAUACUAGUACGCCUGGUAUUCAUAUUAAACUGAAUUGAAUGUAUGCGUGGACAUAAUCAAAUUAAAAAAUGAAAACAAAAAAUCGAAUGUAUAUGUUCACAAGACUGACAAGAGAUUCAAAAAAAUUUCAGGAAAUAAUUUCUAAUAAUAAAGUGACAUCUUGUGAAAUUCCCAUCUUAAAACAAAAUGAAGUUUCAGUAGGCCCGCAGUACGUACAAAGUGGAAGCAGUCCCAUAACAUGUAGAGAGACACUAGGUACAUUGUGUCUGUCUGUCAGGAACCAUAUGUGUACUGCAUAUAGUCGUGUUGUGAAUAAUGAUAAAUCCAUAUCAUAUCUAUACCUAGUACUGAUUAUUCAUGAUUCAAAUGAUGAAUGAAUUAAAAAAGCAUAAAUUCUACCACAGCAAACUUGCUGUUAAUGAUAUAAAAUCAGCUCUCAAAUGUUGUUGCAUUCUUAAAAUUGUCAAAACACACCUGGGGUGGCAAACAUGGAUGUACAUGAACCAUUAAAAUAUGAUGUAACUAGUGGCAGUACAUGUAGUGUAAUAAAAAUACAUGCACAUGUAGGUCACAUUUUCUCACAAACAUGACAGCCUUCAUCCUUGCAUGCAUUUGAUAGGCCUUGGCAAAGGUUUAGUGCGCACACAACUGUGACGAUGACCUCUACUAAAUAGUGCACAAGACCACAUAACUCCCUACAGUAUCAUCUAUCACAAGACAGUGUACAGUAGCUUAUUAAAGAUGGGAGAGUGAUGUUUGUCACUCUCUGGCUGCAUUCAGACACCACUUUUUACCACAGAAACAUGGUUUUCAAAAUGUUCAUUAAGCUGGUAUGGUUGUGUUCUGUGAUUUUUACUCUCUAAUAUACAUGUAUUCCAUUCUAAUUUAAGCAAUUUCAAGCAAAUUCAAGUUCAAUGUUUUCAAAUUUCAAAAGAAUUAUUUUUAAAUGGUACAUAAACAUAUAUAUGUACAAAUAGUUUCUGACCAACUGGCAAAUUAUCAGAAAAUGUAAUUUUUCAAAAACAAAGGCAAGAGUUAAGACAUGCAUACAAAUUAUAACAUGAGUACACAACAAUUUUAUAGUUUGAUUAUACAGGUAUAUAUAGUCUCGUAGGACUAAUUUUUUUUUUGGGAGGGGGGGGGUGGUUCAUCAACAAGAACAAUGUACAUGUACCAUUUAAGUACAUUAUGUAUGCAUGUUUCAUGCCUAUAGCAAUUGGCGAUUAAGCCAAUCAAGAUAGUAACCUGGUUAGCAGUGUGUUCAUUAGUCAUGCUAGAUUGUAUGACUACAUGAAGUGUUUCAUCAGUUUAGACAGUAAUGAGAUUUCAGCCUUCUUCACACAAUAAUCUUUUACCUCAGUAUUCUGGAACAUUUUAAUAUCCUUGAUACCCCUUUCAUAAACCCAAUUGUGCGGAUAAUAUCCGCAUAAUUUGGUCGUAAAAUCGGAGCGGGACCAGAAUUAUCCGCAUUAUUUCGAUGCUGCAAUUAUCCGCAUAAUAGCGGCAUCGGGACCAGAUUUUGACUUUAUGAACGCAUUUCCAAACUAAUGCGGAUAAUUGCCAUGGUGCGGUCACAAGGUCACCUUUUUCCAACACAACCCCAUCGGAGGGGGGUGUGUGCAGUUGCCAUGACAAUUAUCCGCCUUUUUCAGGUCGGGCGCUCGUAAAAAAUAGUGCGGAUUAUUUUCGGAGUUUGUGAAUGCAAUUUUUAUUGAAUUAUCCGCAUUACUCUUAGGCGGAUAAUUGGAGGAUGGGUGUAUGAAAGGGGUAUUAGAUAUCUACAUACUGUAUGUACAUUCUACUUCUACUGCAAGUAAAUUAUAAAAUAUUUUAUAUAUUUUUGUCAUUUAUAAGAUUUCAUUCUAUGCUAGUCAGCAUACAUGUAGUUCGAUUAAGAUUUUUUUUUUUAUUCGAUCAUAGUUUACCUAUUCUUUUGCAAUGCUGUGAAUGUGCAUUACUGCUUUACAUACUGUAUGGUAUGCACUAGUACAGUCUUAUUUUUGUGCUGUAUAUUAUGUACUGUAGUUCAUCAUAGCAUGUAGGCCUAUACAUGUGUGGAGAGAGAGUAGGAGAGAUCUGUGGGAGGGGGUUUUAUAGAUGAUUUGAAAUCCCUGACUAUCUGUCAUAUCCUGUUCUAAAUUUAUCCUAAACGUAGUGCUUUUGCCUUCCCCUUCUGCAAAGCAAGGUUACUGGAUAGUUGAAAUCCUUUGUAUACUGGGUGUAAAAUGAGUACAAAUAUCAAGGAACAGAGGAUAUGUUUCUACUUCUUCAUUUACAUUACAUGUACAUGUACAGUGCUAUUAGGGAUUUUUGCCCCUACAAAACAUAUAGUAUGAUGUGCAUACUGUAGAAAAAGAAACCAGGAAACAGAAUUCUGCAGUUUCCCUUCAGCAAUAAUUGAAGUGUUCUUUAAAAGUUGGAAUUCAAUCAAUUAGUAGGCCCUUACAGCCUGUUCACAAAAAUAAAUAAAUA